rnacentral:rRNA from 1 species
CGAGGGGGGCAAAUGUUGUUCGGAAUCACUGGGCGUAAAGGGAGCGUAGGCGGGCUCUUAAGUUAGGUGUUUAAUCCCGGGGCCCAACCCCGGACAGGCACCUAAAACUGGGAGUCUUGAAUAGUGGAGAGGACGGCGGAAUUGGGGGUGUAGCGGUGGAAUGCGUAGAGAUCCCCAAGAACACCAGUUGCGAAGGCGGCCGUCUGGACACAUAUUGACGCUGAGGCUCGAAGCAUGGGGAGCAAACAGGAUUAGAUACCCUGGUAGUCCAUGCUAUAAACGAUGAAUACUAGGUUUUGGGCCCGUCAACGGUCCAGAGCCGCAGCUAACGCGUUAAGUAUUCCGCCUGGGGAGUACGCUCGCAAGAGUG